AUCAGUUAAAAAAAGCAGAAAAGAGACCUAAAGACUUAUAGAGACCUGUGCUUUUUGCCAACUAGAUCUAGUUUGCAAAAAACACAAAUCUCAGAAGGUGUUGGUUCCUACUUCAUCAGCAUUCUGCAAUAACGGAAGAUUUCAGCAUCUCCAGAUCUCAGUAGUAGCAGUAGCUCUAAAACAUUGUCUCUUGCAAGGAAUGAGAACCUUUUAAAUAAUAAUACAGAUACAAUAAAUAUGUUGCAU
rnacentral:lncRNA from 1 species